AAAAAGCAAUUAAUGUGUCAAAACAUUAUCGCAUCCACCGUGCAGUGUAUGGGUAUAUAAACGGAUGUAAAAAAUUCAAAGGUACAUUCCUCCAGUGUUCCAAUCCUUACACAUACGAGUACUUCGCAGCAAAUCCAGGUGACAAUGAUCCGUCAAGCUGUCUUCAUAAUCGCCGCCAUGGUGCUCUUGAGUGCCAGCGCACAACGUGGUGACGUAGCGCAAAAAAUGAUGCGCGAUAUGUUAAGAUCACAAAUGGAGGAUCAAAUGCGACUUGGCAGCCCUUACAGUCGGUCUUCCAUGGACAAGGAUAUGCAGAAGU